GAUGAACGCUGGCGGCGUGCCUAAUACAUGCAAGUCGAGCGAACAGAUGAGGAGCUUGCUCCUCUGACGUUAGCGGCGGACGGGUGAGUAACACGUGGAUAACCUACCUAUAAGACUGGGAUAACUUCGGGAAACCGGAGCUAAUACCGGAUAAUAUAUUGAACCGCAUGGUUCAAUAGUGAAAGACGGUUUUGGCGUCAGUGGUAGAUGGAUCCGCGCCGAAUUAGCUAGUUGGUAAGGUAAGGGCUUACCAAGGCAACGAGGGGUAGCCGACCUGGGAGGGUGGCCGGGCACCUGGCGACUGCGAUACGGACCAGUCGCGAAUGGGAGGCAGCGGGGGAGAAUAUGACGCAACGGGCGGAAGCCAGAUGUAGAAACGCUGCGUGCGGGAAACCGUGCUUCGGGUUGAAAACCACUGUCGCCGGUACCGUGGCGUGAGUGACGGUACCGGGUAAAGAAGCAUCGGCUAACUACGUG
rnacentral:rRNA from 1 species